GGACAAUCCUAAGCUAUUUGUAGAAUGGUCAGAAUCACUUGUAAUUGAUAUUCUUGAUUGCAUAGCAAACUCACCAUUGAUUGCAAAAUCUAUUGCUACACCAAAAUUUUCUCCAAGCGAAUUUCAAUCUCUGAGCAACUUCUCUUUUGCCGUCUUCCCAAGUUCAGUCCCCAAUCCCCAAUUUGCACGAAGCUUCUAAUUUUGCUGCUGGUGUUAUUUCGGAUGGGGAUUUUGUCAAUCCAGUAGUAUUAUCUAGCUCAUCUCCAGCUCCUAAGGUGUGUGUUGAGAGUGUGGUGAAUGAAGCUAAUGCUGAAGGUGCAAUUCCAGUAGCUCCUCUAUCUUGCGCAUAAAGUGCUUCUGAUGCUAUAGGUGUAUCCCCUUCAACAAUGCAGUGUCCACUUCCUGCUGUUGGUUCUUCGUUGAUGCAGUCAGUCGGUCUUGAUAAGAAGUGUGAGCCCAAGGUUGUUGUCAAUGAUUUCCCAAAACCAACUUCUGCUGAAUUCAGUCGCUCUCUUGGUGUCCAAUCGCAUCCUGAAGAUUCCAUUGAACAGCUGAAAGUUAAAGAGGGUAUCUCUUCUGUUGGUGGACUGUCACCUCUGGUUCCGACUCGUUUGACGCAGUGGUUCUGUAACGUGG